rnacentral:rRNA from 1 species
UACGGAGGGUGCAAGCGUUAUCCGGAUUCACUGGGUUUAAAGGGUGCGUAGGUGGGUUGAUAAGUCAGUGGUGAAAUCCCCGAGCUUAACUUGGGAACUGCCAUUGAUACUAUUGAUCUUGAAUACCGUGGAGGUCAGCGGAAUAUGUCAUGUAGCGGUGAAAUGCUUAGAUAUGACAUAGAACACCAAUUGCGAAGGCAGCUGGCUACGCGAAUAUUGACACUGAGGCACGAAAGCGUGGGGAGCAAACAGG